rnacentral:rRNA from 1 species
UGGGGAAUAUUGGACAAUGGGCGAAAGCCUGAUCCAGCCAUGCCGCGUGUGUGAAGAAGGUCUUCGGAUUGUAAAGCACUUUAAGUUGGGAGGAAGGGCAGUAAGUUAAUACCUUGCUGUUUUGACGUUACCGACAGGAUAAGCACCGGCUAACUCUGUGCCAG